rnacentral:rRNA from 1 species
AUACGUAGGGGGCAAGCGUUAUCCGGAUUUACUGGGUGUAAAGGGAGCGUAGGUGGUGCGGUAAGUCAGAUGUGAAAACCCGGGGCCCAACUCCGGGACUGCAUUUGAAACUAUCGAACUAGAGUGCAGGAGAGGUAAGUGGAAUUCCUAGUGUAGAGGUGAAAUGCGUAGAUAUUAGGAAGAACACCGGUGGCGAAGGCGGCUAUCUGGACAGUAACUGACGCUGAGGCGCGAAAGCGUGGGGAGCAAACAGGAUUAGAUACCCUGGUAGUCCACGCCGUAAACGAUGAUUACUAGGUGUAGGGGGUAUCGACUCCCUCUGUGCCGCAGUUAACGCAUUAAGUAAUCCACCUGGGGAGUACGGCCGCAAGGUUAAAACUCAAAUGAAUUGACGGGG